CGGGGUGUGGCGCAGCCUGGUAGCGCACCUGCCUUGGGCGCAGGGGGUCGGAGGUUCGAAUCCUCUCGCCCCGA
rnacentral:tRNA from 1 species